GAUGAACGCUGGCGGCGUGCCUAAUACAUGCAAGUCGAGCGGUAAGGCCUCUUCGGAGGUACACGAGCGGCGGACGGCUGAGUAACGCGUAGGAACGUACCCCAAAGUGAGGGAUAAGCACCAGAAAUGGUGUCUAAUACCGCAUGUGGCCCACGGGCUAAAGCUUCGGCGCUUUGGGAACGGCCUGCGUAAGAUUAGCUAGUUGGUGAGGUAAUGGCUCACCAAGGCGACGAUCUUUAGCUGGUCUGAGAGGAUGAUCAGCCAGACUGGGACUGAGACACGGCCCAGACUCCUACGGGAGGCAGCAGUAGGGAAUUUUCCACAAUGGGCGAAAGCCUGAUGGAGCAACGCCGCGUGCAGGAUGAAUGCCUUCGGGUUGCAAACUGCUUUUAUAUGCGACGAAUAUGACGGUAGCAUAUGAAUAAGGAUCGGCUAACUCCGUGCCAGCCGCCGCGGUAA
rnacentral:rRNA from 1 species